GCCUGGCUAGCUCAGUUCGUAGAGCACGGGAUUCUUGAUCUCAGCGUGGGUUUGAGCCCCAUGCUGGGUC